AACGUAGGGAGACAAACGUUAUCCGGAGUUACUGGGCGUAAAGGGCGUGUAGGCGAUCUGUUAAGUCUGGCGUGAAAGCUCUCGGCUAAACCGGGAGAGGUCGUUGGAUACUGGCAGACUAGAGGACGGUAGAGGCGUGUGGAAUUCCGGGUGUAGUGGUGAAAUGCGUAGAUAUCGGGAGGAACACCAGUGGCGAAGGCGGACUUCCUGGCCUGUUCUUGACGCUGAGGCGCGAAAGCUAGGGUAGCAAACGGG
rnacentral:rRNA from 1 species